UACGAAGGGGGCUAGCGUUGCUCGGAAUCACUGGGCGUAAAGCGCACGUAGGCGGCUUGUUAAGUCAGGGGUGAAAUCCUGGAGCUCAACUCCAGAACUGCCUUUGAUACUGGCAAGCUUGGAGUCCGGGAGAGGUGAGUGGAACUGCGAGUGUAGAGGUGAAAUUCGUAGAUAUUCGCAAGAACACCAGUGGCGAAGGCGGCCAACUGGUCCGGUACUGACGCUGAGGUGCGAAAGCGUGGGGAGCAAACAGG
rnacentral:rRNA from 1 species